UCUUAGCCAUAGUUUAAGACUCUGCCGCUUCUUGAGUUCGGCCAACGUCCGGUGGCUUUUUGCUCCGGCGUUGUGCCUCUUUAGUUUAAUUUUCGUUUCUCUUUUCUUCCUUUGUAGAUCUUCUCUCGGUGGUGUUUUCUGAUUUGGAAUUUUUGUGGCCUUCGUUUGGGGUUUCUUGCUGGUUAUUUCGAUCUGUGAGGUUGUGUUCUCUGUGGAAGCGGUCUAGCGUUUCAGAUCUGUGCGGUUCGUGGUUCCUGCGAGGAGGAUGGUGCCGGAUCUGUUUGAUCGACGGUGAGCUUUGUCUGUAAUAGUGCCAUUGUUUCUUGCUCUUCCCAACCCAGAUCUUGUUCUCGCUCUUGUGCUUUUUGUUGUUUCGAUGCCGCCGGCUUGGCUGAUGUGAGGUCUCUCGUCAGACUUCUUCAUGCCUUUGUCUUUCCGUUGUCACUUCCUUGUGUUGUUUUAGCUAGCAGUCUCUCGUUUGGAUCGUCUCUGUUCUUUGUGGAGGUUUUUGUGUGAAGGAUUGUGCUUUGUUCUAGGUUUUCAAAAUUGUCUUCUCUUUGGUGGAGGACGUUGUGGAUGAUUACCAUUUCGGUCAGAGUGUCGUGCUUAAUUUCAUGAUCCUUGUUCCUCGAGAUGGUUAGGUUUCUCUCCUUGUCUUUGCAUUUCCGAAUCGGGUGUGAUUGGAUUGCUUCUUUAAGACUUUUAUCUAGGCGCUCCAUGACGUAUCGUCUUCGCCGCAUCCGGAAGUAUCUUACGAGGUUCAGUUUUGGCCUUUUUUUGCCGGGUUAUGAAGUCUUGGUUACGUGGUUUCGAGAGCUCAUCUCUCAUCAUGAUAGGAGGAGGCAGUUGUUAUCAAUGGGUUGGCCGUGGGCAGCAUUGGUAAAUCUCUUUCGCAGGUGUCUCAAAAGAAAAGGUCAUGUUUUGUGCUUGGACCUUGUGGUUUCUCUUCGGGUUUAAGUUUGUUUGCCUCUAUUCUUAGUUUAUGGUUUCGAUCUCUUUCGUUUUGGCUUUAAAAUUUCUGCUUUGUACUAGUGGUUGUGUUUCCCUUGCUUAGGGCUUAGUUUCCGGGGAAUUUACGUUUUCCUCCGGCUUAGUUUCUGGGAACUUUUCUGUUGUCCGCCGGCUUAGUUUCCCUUGUUUGGGCUUUGUAUUCGACUUUGGUUCCACCUCAAGUUUCAAUAAUAAUAUUUCAGAUGAUAAAAAAAAAGUACAGUCUCACCGUUUUCUUCUUUAAAAAAAACGUAGUUGGAAGAAAAAGGUAUAAGAGUAUAAGUAAAUAAUAAGUUAAGGGAUCUAAUUAUAAUUAAUUUUUACUCUAAAUUCUUAAAUGAGUCUGUAUAUAUUUGUGUAAUUUCUUAUUCUAUGUCGAAUAAGAAUAGUUCAAUCUUUAUAUGUUAUCAAAGCCAAAAGUUUCAAAAACCUAAAAAAAAAAUUUCUAACGAUCACCAUAUUUUCUUCUAAAAACAAUAGUGAAACAAUUUUUUCAACUCAAAUAAGUUCUCAAUAUCAAUAUGUCAAACAUUUCAAAGCUAACAACACAAAACUACCUCAUGUGGAAGCUUCAAGUUCAUGUUCUUCUCAAUGGGUAUGACCUUGUCGUUCACCUUGAUGAAUCCAAAGUCGUUCUGUCUGCUAUCAUCACGGUUGGGACAACGACUUCAACAAAUCCAGACUUUACAAAAUGGCAUCGUCAAGACAAAGCAGUGUAUUCAUCGGCUCGAUCACUUCACCACUUAGAAAUUGUUUAACAACAAUUUUUAUGGAAAUAAAUUUAGAAACAAAAUUUGAAAGUAUGAUAGAUACAUAUAUGAUAUGAUACAUUUUCACGAUUGUAUUGUUACUUAUCCAAAGAUAAGUCGUUCGAUAGCACUUUCAAACAAUUUUAAGGAAAUAAUCGUUCAAAAUGGUUAGAUAUAUAUACUAGUUGAAAAAUACGUAGAGCCACUACAAUUUUAGUGAUUGAUCUUAAAUAUUCGUAGCUAUUAAUCAACAUAGCCAUGAAUAGGGGAAAACGGCCAAAAUCCACCCAGACUAUUUGCUGGCGGUUUUUUUCAACCUGAACUUUGAUCUCCUGCAUAAAUCAACCCAGACCACAUAUAAAUUUAAAUUCUAAACCCAAACUAUAUAAUUUUUUGCCGAUUUCAACAUCUGCUUUGACGGCGUGAUGAGACCGUUAAACUGUGCCGAGUCAGCGACUACGUGGCAUCACUCGUGGCAUCUGGGCUUGAUAAAACGACGUCGUUUAACAUUUGGUUUGGUGUUUUGAUUGCAAAACGACGCCGUUUUCAAAUUGGGGGAAAAAUUAAAAUUAGGGUUCUUAGAAACAUUAGUGAACCGGAGAGAGUGUGAGUGAGUUUGAAGAGAAACAUCUCAAUUCAAAACGAAACUGUGUCUAAUAAUCGAAGAAGCGAUCCCUUGUUUGACGAAAACGACUUCCAAGCUACAAUUUUGGGUCUUUGAGAAGAGAGAAUGAGGUAAUGAGUAGUUUCUUCUUUCUUUGUUUAUGUCAAUUUAAUUUGUUAAGUCUAAAUGAUAUGAUAUUUUCGUAUUAGAAUCAUUCCUUUUUUCAAUUUACAUAUAAAGCAAGUCUCAGCAACUUCAAUUUCUUCAUUGUAGAGUUCGAUUUUAAUUAACCCUCCAAGUGUUCGAUGAAAUGUCUGAGAGAGUUGUAAUUGGGUUGAAUGUUAAUUUUUUGAUGUCGUUUGCAGUACUAUGGAUGUGGCAACAUUCAGUGUGUACUACGGUGGGAAUUGGGUGACUAGUGAAGAUGAGGAGGAUGCUUAUAUCGGUGGAGAGGUGAAGAUGCUAGAGUGUAAACCGGAGGAAUUUUAUACAAAAUUAGGGUCUGAACUCAACACCAAACCAAAUGUUAACCGACGUCGUUUUAUCAAGCCCAGAUGCCACGAGUGAUGCCACGUAGUCGCUGACUCGGCACAGUUUAACGGUCUCAUCACGCCGUCAAAGCAGAUGUUGAAAUCGGCAAAAAAUUAUAUAGUUUGGGUUUGGAAUUUGAAUUUAUAUGUGGUAUGGGUUGAUUUAUGCAGGAGAUUAAAGUUUGGGUUGAAAAAGGCCGCCAGCAAAUAGUCUGGGUGGAUUUUGGCCGUUUUCCCCCAUGAAUAGUUACUAAAAUAAAUCAUGGCUAUAUCAUCGUAUUUUUAUUGUUUCGUGGUUAUAAUUAAUUACCAAAUUAUCACUAUAUAUUUUAUGAUUAUUUAGCCGCAAUAUGUCACCAUCAUUCCGUGAUGAUAUUAGCUACGGAAUAUGAGUAGCAAACUUGGGACUAGUGAUAUAUCACAUAUUUUACCGAUUUAGUCAUAACAUAUAUGUCAGUUUUAGAGUCUUUUUGUUGUUUCUAAACUCUUUUCGAGUCUUUUCAGGUUUUUACACGUUUGGGACAAAUUUGGAGAUAAAGAACCAUUAUGGAGCUAAACCGGAGAUUAAGAGCUGAAAAAACGAAUUCGGUAUCAGACCAAAGCAUGAGUGUCGACCGACACCCCUUAGGGCCGAUCGACACCACACGCGGCCCAGCAAAAGUCUCGACGGUUUAGGAGUUUUAAAGCCCGAAGAAUCAACCCAAAAGACUUCUCUAUUUGUAACUUUAGUCCAUGCACGUUUUUGGAGACAUUAUAAAUAGUUUUUAUGGUUUUUAUUAUUCAUUAUCAGAUUUUCUUCUACAAUUUGGUUUGUAAUUCUUUGAGCUUGAACCCUUUAGAAUAUAAUUGGAAAGAACUACUUUCAGAGAUUUCAAAUCCCUGUAGAGAGAGAUUUAUUCUAAACUCUUUUCUUCUUUUGAUUUCUUUAUUGCAAUUUUAUUCAAGCAUGUUUUUUGUUUCAUUAAUCAUGUAUGAGUAAUCUCCUUCUUAGGUUUAGGGAUUCUCACUAGAGAUUUAGAUGAAUUUGUAAAUCGAUUACAUGUUAGGAUUAAUCUUUAGAGUUCUUCACCUUAGGUUAUUCUUAAUGCUUCUAGAGUAGCUAACCAGAAUUUGAUCAUAGGAUAAUAGGUUUUGAUCCGAGAGGGCGUCUGUUACUGGAACAAUCUUAGGUGGGCAGAAAUUACUAGAUACAUUCGAGAGGUGGUCUAAGAAUAUCUGUGAACAUAUCAAACAUGUUAUUAAUGCUAGUCUAAUUCUAGAAGUUUACAUUCGAGAGGUGGAACUUCUUGAUAUUAGGUUUAGUUAGUCAAUACAUUCGAGAGGUGGUUGGCUAUACAUUAGUGUUUUGAGUUCUAGAACGGUUCGAUAAAUAAUCCUAAUUAAUUUGCUAGAUUUACUAUUAGUUUAUUUCCUGAGAAUUUUUCUAAACCUGACGCUUUAAUCUAUUUAAAUUUUUACCUAAUUUAAUUGCUUGCUUUGUUUAUUUUAUUUAGCCUAAUUUCGAGAAUGUUAGUUUAUUGUGUGAACAAAAAAAACUUUGUGGAAUUUGACUCUAAAAUACUGCAAUUGAUCUCUUAUUUGAAAGAGUAGUCUUAGGUCUAAUUUGACUUACAUCAAGUAGGUUGGUUAAGCACAUGCAAGAAGCAUAAUCGUGGCUAAGCAGCCACUUACUAUAUUAGUGUUUCCCAGUUAAGAAUAUAAAUCUUGUUUUCUUGUAAUUUUUGUGGCUAAUCAUGUAUUUAACCAAAAAUAAAUAAUUUUAAUUCUUUAAACAAUAACUAAACUUGAAAAGAAAAGCCAAAAUUCAAAUAACAUGAAAUCCAGUUAACAAUAUCUUACAUAACCAUUGCAAAUUAAAUAAUACAAAAGACUAACCAAAUAUACAAAAGAAACCUGAAAACACAAUCACAUAUAUUUAAAGACAUAGUAAAACACACCAAACAUGUAAGACCAUCUCCUAUGUAUAUUUCUAUUUUUUAUUCUAAAAUAUAGUAUGAUAUUUCUCUAAUGUAUCACUUCAUUUCUUCCUCUAAAAUAGAAUUAGUAUAAAAAAUAAAGUAUAAAAUAUAAUUGUUCUAUAUAUAGAGUGAGAUUGGAAAAAAUAUUAUUCUAUAACCGAGUUUAGAAAAAAAAAAAAAUAGAGUGGAUUGGAAUGUUGGAGAUGCUCUAAAUUGUUUUGGUUUGUUGUUGUAGGAGGGAUUCUCCGACUAGUUAGUUAGUUGUUUUGCAAACGUUACAUUUGCGGAUGAGUUUUUUUUUUUGUCACUUUUGCGGAUGACUACAGAAGAAUCUCUAAAUAUUUAUGCAGAAUUAUAUGAGUUUGAUGGAUGUUAUAUAAUCAAUUAAUAAUAGAAAAAGAAGCAUCUAUAGUUCUACACUGUCCUUGAAAGUUACUAAUACUCUGACUUAAUACCAGUAUUAGAGUAUUUAUUGGAAGGAAACAACAAAAUAAACAACGUGAUCGUUUUCAAAUCAUAUGCCAUAAAACAUAAUGAUGGACCUUUUUCUCAUUAACAUAAUGGUUUAGCAAACAUUAAUGAACAACAAGUUUGACCCUUCGCGGAGAUCUCGUAAGUGGUGUCAUCAUUAUAUUUGGAUUAAAAACUAUGAAUAUAUUAGCAUGUGGCCACAUGUAACUACAACAUUUGAUGAAUUGUACAAUGCAUUAGAGACUAAGCUUAUAUUUUUGCGAUCACUUGCAAUAUUUAAUGGCAUGGGCAAAAUAUUCGUUAGAUCCGUUUCGACUCGGUAUUCGUUUUGAUUCGAUUCGAAAAAUCCGAAUAUCCGUAAAAUUUUGGAGCAAAGCAAAUAGGAAAACGUAGUAUUCGUAAAAAACGGAGCAAAUAACAAAUAUUGUUUUUCUAAAAGUCGGAUAUCCGCUUCGAUCCGUAAUUUUCGAUAUAUAAUAAAAAAAAAUAUAUAUAUAUAUAUAUAUAUGCAUAUCAUAAUAUAUAUUUUUACUUGUAUUUGUAAAUUCAGUUUUUUAUCCUUCGGACUUGUGUUUGUGACAUAAUUUAAUAGUUUUUAUUAGUGAAGUGAAAUUUAUUAUUAAAAAAAAAUUAAUAUCCCUUAAAAAUAAGAAGUUGGAAUCCUGCGACGAUUUCUUUUUCCCAAAUUUAUCUUUUUCUUCGUAGUUUUAUACACGAGCGCUUAGCUUUUUAGGGUUUUAAUAGGUGCAGAAGUAUCGAAGCGGAUAUUCGCAAAUAUCACACAAAAAUCCGAAUAUUCGAUAUUCCGAAUAUCCGGAAAUUUUCGGAUCAAAGCAAAUCACAAAAUCAAGUAUUCGAUUGAAACGAAUCGAAUACUGAAUAUUCCAAAUUUUCUGGAUAUCCGCUUCGUGCUCAGGCCUAAUAUUUAUAUGCAGUGUAGUGUGAAUACAUAUAUAAGUAUUAUUGAACAAUAAUUGUGUAGGCUGGUUUUUUCUUCUAUUAUUAUUGUUUUGUAAAUAGCGAUAAAUCCAAAGAACAAGUCUCGAAGCUCGAGAUUCCAUUGAACUUUGGAUUUAAAAUAUAGAGAUAGGAUAUUACUAGCGAUGGUUUUGAAAAUUAUUUAAAAUAUGUUUGGAAAGCAAAGCAUGUAUUUUGUGGAUCAAGUAUUGUAAACUAUCAAAGUUUGUCUAUAAAAUUAAUCCCGUAAAACUCGAAAGAAAAAUAUACUUCAGAAUUUCUAAAUCUCCAUCAAUUACCUCUUGAAUUGACAAGGCAAAAUCGUUAAAGAUUGAUUUUUGUCUUGAAUUCCCUUUUAUUUUAUAGAGAGAUUCUAAGUGUCUAGUGGGUGCAAUAGACCAGCAAACAUCAAGUAAAUGAAUCAAGAUAAAUAUGAAAAAUUGAGACUUCUCUUCUGUCCAAGACCAAUAGUCUUGGUCCAUGAAGCCAGUGAAAGAAGAGCCACAAUGACAAUUUAUCGGUGCGAGCGAGAAUCGAUUGCUCUAAUACUAUGAUCGAUUGCUUUGAGAGACUUAUUGAUCUAGUCGUAGAAGAUAUUUCGAGAGACUUAUUCUGUUUUAGUCUUAUACAAGUUAUUUUUUGAAGAUUUCUAAAAUGUCUAGUAUGUGCUUUUUUGAGUUUUAAAAGUCUAAGGAGAAUGAGAAAAAAUUACAUUAUGUUUUAUAAUGUUUAAAAACAUUUUUUGUAGUGAAAUAUGCGUUGUAAUAAAAACAUUAUAUAAUAUUCUGUAAAAUAUUGAAGAUACUGACUUUUAGUUUCUAAUCUAUGGAAAAUAACACUUACAAUACAUAAUUUUACAAAACCAUCAAAUGAAAUUUUAAAAAUUUGGGACCCUUAAAUAUUCAUAAUAUUAUAGAUCAUAAGGCAAAUGCAUUUUAGUUUUGUAAUAAGGCACUCAUUGUUAUCUUCGUGGCUAAUUAAGCUCUCUUCAUCAACAACUACAUGAAUGUGUUAUGUUGUCACAUUAGCUCGUCAAAGUUUUUUGUGUCAAAUGUUUUGGAGAAUAAACUCAAACCAAAUCUGCAUCCAAAGAACAAUCCUCGAAGCUCGAGAUUCCACUGAACUUCUGACAUCUUGGAUUAAAAUAUACUCCUAGUUUAGAGAUAAGCUUUUACUAGUGAUGAUUUUAUAAAUCGUUAUUACUACUAAUUUGUUUUUUUUUUCUUAUGAAUUUAUAUAAUAAAGACUACUCCGAGUAUUAUUAAAUAGAUUAAGUGGAAUCCACCAUGACAUCGCAUAACUCUUUUUGCAUUCUUGUACCUUGACACAUUUCACUUUACUUUGAUCUGAGAACUAUAAGAAAUUGAGAAGUUAAGUUUAAUGUUUGUCAUUCUCUGGAUGCUAUCGGUUAAUAUCGCCCGGUUGUUACUGCGUUCUCUAACUUCUUUAUUCAGUUUGAAGCAAUUUUCAAAAGUUGAGACUAACCACAGUUGCCUUGGUCCAGACUCCAGUGGUCAAUGAGAGAAAAGUGUAUGGUACCUGCAUUAGCUACCGGAGUUCGAAUUCUAAUAUGGUUUUUCCAGAUCUCAUGAUUAAUUUUUAGCCUAAAAAGCCUUUAAUAUCACAUGAGUUACAAAAAAAAAAAUUGAGACGGUCAAAAUUUGAAUUGUGAAAAGAGUAAUCUAGUCUCCCCAGAGACUCGUUUUCUGCAUCUAUGAUAGAAGAAUCUGGAAUAUACGGCUAACUUUGAUUCUCUUUAUGGAUUCUUGGCUAAUAAUUUUGUUGUUUACUCAAGAAGUACUCUAGAGUAUAUACACUUAUUCAAGAUCAUGCCAUACUCUUUUGUGUUUCUUUUCUUUUACAAUAGAUCUUGUUCUCUCAUUUGUAGUUCUUUUGGGACACCAACUAUCAUAUUAAACAAGUUUAUUGAGUGAAUCGACAAUAGCUUAAAGAAACUUGAUCUAGUAAAUUAAAGUCGACAUCUACAAGUAGAGUGAAUUCAAUAUUAGUUAAUCAGAUUAGGCGGGAAUAACCCAACAUUAAUACAAUUUUUUCAUACACAUGUAAAAACCAACACAUCAACAAAUCUUUUUUUUUUGUCAACAACUUAAAUUAAAGCUCAAAAGAGCCAUUCUUGGGGAAUGUUGUUUACAUAUGUGAUAUGAAGCGGUUCGGUACGAACUUGUCGAGCCAAUUUAUCCGCUUUUACAUUUGCGCUACGAGGAAUUAAAGAUAAAGAAAAGCUUGAAAAUUCUUCCCUGUCACUCUGAAAGUCCUCCAGAUACACUGUAAAUGCCGGCCAUUCGGUUGGAGAAGACACCAUCUUCACCAAAUCUGAACAGUCUGUAAAGAAAGCUACAUCUUGGUUGUCAGCACCAAUCAUACACUUCAUCGCCCAAAGAAGAGCUUCGACUUCUGUAUGUAGAGGAGAUAGACUUCUACGGAUGUUGGCAGCUCCCAUGGUUGGCAUCUCUCCAUUUGAUGAUGUACAAUACCAUCUUGUUCCUGAAAAAGUAUCGGUUCCUUUCCAUGAUCCAUCUAUGAAACAACGAUAUCCUGAAUAAUUAGGCUCCAAUGAAAUUUCCCUCACUCGGUUUCGAUUUUCAUUAUCUAAAAAACCAUGGUUAUCAGUAUGAAGCUCAGUUUGAGCUAGCUGCCACGAUUUCGCCUCUUUCUCCGCUAAACGUAAGACCUCUAAUGGAUCUUUAUCCACAUUAUCAAAGAUUUUUUCAUUCCUUGCUUUCCAAAUGUACCAAAUUAUCCAUGGAUAAGAAGAUGAAUCUACCUAUGAAGGUAUUCUCCAAAAUAGGUGGUCCAAGUUCUCGUAAAUAGAAGCCGUAGGAAAAAUCCCCGGAACCGAAGGAAUUUGAGAAAGAGCCCAAAUUUGUCUCGCUGGAUGGCAUUCAAAAAGUGUAUGGUUAAUUGUUUCCUCUAUAGCGCCACAAGUAAUACAUCCUGUAUCACAAUUUAUACCUCUCUUUCGCAGAUUCUCCGUAACCGGUAAACAACCUGAUAAAAUUUGCCACAAAAAAUGUCAUAGCUUUGGUGGACAUUGCACCUUCCAAGCAUAUGCUUUUAGAGGUUUUAUAUCUGGGCCAAAAAAUUUUGAACUGGCAUCCAAGUCCUCUAUCCGGGCCGUAUGGUAACCAGAUUUAACCAGCGCGACAUCUUCUGGAUCAAAGAGCUCCUUCAACAAAUCAAAUCAAAGUUUAUUUUUUAUUUAUUUUUUUUUUUUUUGGGGCAAAUCAAAUCAAAGUUAUAUUUUAUAUGAAAAUGGGAUUUCUUUUCAUAUUCUCCAUGGAAACCUCUCAAGCUCUCCCCAUAGCUCUUGGAGGAAGGAUCACAUAGCUUUUUUAGAGAGUUAAGAAAUAUAAAAUAACAACAGUUUGAGAUUUACUUAUUGGGCUCUCUUAUGGGUUUCUAAUAACAAUCUCAACUUUCCUUAUUAUUUUUCACAGGCGAUUGGGCUAAACAGAGAUUUGAACUAGAUUUGAUUCUAUAGAUACUGACCAAAUUAGAGCAGCGACAAAUAGCAAA
rnacentral:lncRNA from 1 species